AAUAGAUACCCGGGUAGUCCACGCCGUAAACAAUGAGUGCUAAGUGUUAGAGGGUUUCCGCCCUUUAGUGCUGCAGCUAACGCAUUAAGCACUCCGCCUGGGGAGUACGGUCGCAAGACUGAAACUCAAAGGAAUUGACGGGGGCCCGCACAAGCGGUGGAGCAUGUGGUUUAAUUCGAAGCAACGCGAAGAACCUUACCAGGUCUUGACAUCCCACUGACCGGUAUAGAGAUAUACCUUUCCCUUCGGGGACAGUGGUGACAGGUGGUGCAUGGUUGUCGUCAGCUCGUGUCGUGAGAUGUUGGGUUAAGUCCCGCAACGAGCGCAACCCUUGAUCUUAGUUGCCAGCAUUUAGUUGGGCACUCUAAGGUGACUGCCGGUGACAAACCGGAGGAAGGUGGGGAUGACGUCAAAUCAUCAUGCCCCUUAUGACCUGGGCUACACACGUGCUACAAUGGAUGGUACAAAGGGCUGCAAGACUGCGAAGUCAAGCCAAUCCCAUAAAACCAUUCUCAGUUCGGAUUGCAGG
rnacentral:rRNA from 1 species